GCACUCAUAGGAGUGUUUUGACAGCUCCGGGCCUGGAGAAGGAGCAGGUGUCGCGAGAGUGGGCAGCGCGCCGCCUAGCGAGAGCUGGAAUUAUGGCGAACCUGGGAAGUGAGGCUGAGCGGGAGCCCCUCUUGGGCCCGGGAUCACCGGAAAGCAGGUUUUUCUAUUGUGAUAAUGUCCAUCUGGCCAUAUCUUCAAAAGAAGGAUCCUGGUGUGGCAUCUGCUUUGCUGGUGAAUCGGGCUUGCACAAGAAGUGGUGCCAAAACCUGGGAUGAGACAUCUUCAGGCACGAGCGAAGACCCCCUGCUACAGGGAGGAUUCAGAACUAUAUCGCGGGGAAGGAGUGGCUAAUGAAGUGUUCCCGCAAGACAGACUGCUCAGAAGGAUUCGAAUGUGUGGAUUCAGAACAAUUCAGCUGGGGAAUGGUGGUACUGGUAAGUAUAAAGAAAUUAAUGUGAGUCUCUGAGAGGCAUGCUUUCAUACGAAAUAGAUCCGAUAAUUGUCGCUGGGGUUGUGCUGCUUGCUAUCUUUCUUGCCUUGAUUUUAUGCCAUUGCCUUAAUUGUCAUUGCCCUGGGCACGAGUGUAUCUGCUGGGAAUAAUUUCACGUAGAUAACACUUUAGUCCAGGACGAUCAUGGGUACUGGCCAGUAUAUGCCCUUAGUAGGGCCGGUGCAAGCCUUGCUUAAAGAAAGAGGUUUAAAGAUUUCGGAAAGCACAGUGAGCGGGUUUUUGAAAGAAAUAGACAGACUCACUCUUUGGUUUGCCCCUAUUGGGUGCUGACGCUUCUUAGUUGGGAAAAGUUGGGAAAAGAUAUAGCAAGAGAGGAAGCAGACGGGAAAGUAAAAGCAGGAACAAGGCCGUUAUGGAAAUUAAUUAAGGCUUGUAUCCAGGACAUGAAAUGUGAGCUAGCUGUUAAGGAAGCGCCGCGACUUUUAUAGGAGCAACAGGAAAGUAUGUCAGAAACAGAGAGAUAUGAAAAAGAAGGCACGCACAGAAAAAUAAGUAAAGGAUGAGAAAUAAAAGGAGAAAAGGAAAAGAAGCCAAAAUGUAAA
rnacentral:lncRNA from 1 species